CAGGUGUGGAAGGCUGGCAACAGCUGGAGCUAACUGCUACUAAUCGGCCGUGAGUCUUG
rnacentral:rRNA from 1 species